CUGGAGGUAUCAGAAGUGCGAAUGCUGACAUAAGUAACGAUAAAGCGGGUGAAAAGCCCGCUCGCCGGAAGACCAAGGGUUCCUGUCCAACGUUAAUCGGGGCAGGGUGAGUCGACCCCUAAGGCGAGGCCGAAAGGCGUAGUCGAUGGGAAACAGGUUAAUAUUCCUGUACUUGGUGUUACUGCGAAGGGGGGACGGAGAAGGCUAUGUUGGCCGGGCGACGGUUGUCCCGGUUUAAGCGUGUAGGCUGGUUUUCCAGGCAAAUCCGGAAAAUCAAGGCUGAGGCGUGAUGACGAGGCACUACGGUGCUGAAGCAACAAAUGCCCUGCUUCCAGGAAAAGCCUCUAAGCAUCAGGUAACAUCAAAUCGUACCCCAAACCGACACAGGUGGUCAGGUAGAGAAUACCAAGGCGCUUGAGAGAACUCGGGUGAAGGAACUAGGCAAAAUGGUGCCGUAACUUCGGGAGAAGGCACGCUGAUAUGUAGGUGAAGUCCCUCGCGGAUGGAGCUGAAAUCAGUCGAAGAUA
rnacentral:rRNA from 1 species